rnacentral:rRNA from 1 species
CACGUAGGGGGCAAGCGUUUGUCCGGAUUCAUUGGGCGAAAAGAGCUCGUAGGCGGUUCGAUAAGUCGGGUGUGAAACCUCCAGGCUCAACCUGGAGACGCCACCCGAUACUGUCGUGACUAGAGUCCAGUAGGGGAGCGUGGAAUUCCUGGUGUAGCGGUGAAAUGCGCAGAUAUCAGGAGGAACACCAGCGGCGAAGGCGGCGCUCUGGGCUGGAACUGACGCUGAGGAGCGAAAGCGUGGGGAGCGAACAGG